GAACCAGUACCGUGAGGGAAAGGCGAAAAGAACCCCGGCGAGGGGAGUGAAAAAGAACCUGAAACCGUGUACGUACAAGCAGUAGGAGCCCACUAGUUGGGUGACUGCGUACCUUUUGUAUAAUGGGUCAGCGACUUAUAUUCUGUAGCAAGGUUAACCGAAUAGGGGAGCCGCAGGGAAACCGAGUCUUAACUGGGCGUUAAGUUGCAGGGUAUAGACCCGAAACCCGGUGAUCUAGCCAUGGGCAGGUUGAAGGUUGGGUAACACUAACUGGAGGACCGAACCGACUAAUGUUGAAAAAUUAGCGGAUGACUUGUGGCUGGGGGUGAAAGGCCAAUCAAACCGGGAGAUAGCUGGUUCUCCCCGAAAGCUAUUUAGGUAGCGCCUCGUGAACUCAUCUUCGGGGGUAGAGCACUGUUUCGGCUAGGGGGUCAUCCCGACUUACCAACCCGAUGCAAACUACGAAUACCGAAGAAUGUUAUCAC
rnacentral:rRNA from 1 species